rnacentral:rRNA from 1 species
UGCAAGUCGAACGGGCACUUCGGUGCUAGUGGCAGACGGGUGAGUAACACGUGGGAACGUACCUUUCGGUUCGGAAUAAUCCAGGGAAACUUGGACUAAUACCGGAUACGCCCUUCGGGGGAAAGAUUCAUCGCCGAUAGAUCGGCCCGCGUCUGAUUAGCUAGUUGGUGAGGUAAUGGCUCACCAAGGCGACGAUCAGUAGCUGGUCUGAGAGGAUGAUCAGCCACAUUGGGACUGAGACACGGCCCAAACUCCUACGGGAGGCAGCAGUGGGGAAUAUUGGACAAUGGGCGCAAGCCUGAUCCAGCCAUGCCGCGUGAGUGAUGAAGGCCUUAGGGUUGUAAAGCUCUUUUGUCCGGGAAGAUAAUGACUGUACCGGAAGAAUAAGCCCCGGCUAACUUCGUGCCAGCAGCCGCGGUAAA